CUAAUUUUAUUUCAUUUUUUCACUAUUUGCACCCUUCUUUCUUUGCAUCGUAAAUACAAAAUAUUGACAACUAUUUAUGUAAAAUACUGCUCUUUUUGAGUCAGGAAAUCUGCUCCCUAUGAGGAAAGCCAUAAAGUUGCUGUCAGUGCUGUCGCUCCAGUUGCGACUGUCCAGCGGUUGUAAGACACUGCAUCUGGCUCUACUUAUCUUUUUAGUAGAUUACACUAAAGUGAAUCCUUAAGGCUAAACCCUCUAAUUUACUGAAACACAUGCACAUAAAAUUACAGCUGUCUCGCAAAAGCUUUCAUUGAUUUGAACAGAGCUGGGAUUCAUUUAAGUGGUUAUAAAACUUAGAUAAGCAAACUUCUUUCAAAACCAGCAGGAAAAAAAAAAACGCAACAGCAAAAUACCAAAACCCAAACACCCCCAGCCUGCCAAACAGAGCUAAUUACUGGUUUAUUGAUUGGCACCUUAUUCUUCACCUCUGUGUCCGCUGACACCAUUUCUCCUGCGUUCCUUGGCUCCAUGUGCACGUUGGUCCCACACAGAGGGAAGAAUUUGGCAGGAAAAUAGGGCGUUUGUUGAGGUAAAAACACAGUUUUGCUCUCAAAAGCAAAUACGUGUAUUGUGUAAUGUUCAUCUCUCUGAAAGUCAACUGCCUAAAAUUUGGACAUCUGAAGGCAAGGCAGUCCCAGAUUGUCUGCUAAGGACAAAGAGAACCUAGAGAAAAAGAAAGAUGAUUAUUUUCAGGCAUCUUAAAUCAUCUAAAGCUGUAGGACGUACCGUACCCUUCUGUGCACCUCUGGGGACCAAUGUAAAACACUGCGGAGAUGGGGAGUGAGUUUCCUGUAGAGACUCAGACAGAUGUGCCAAGCUGUCCUCCCAGGGCUGUUUCAUAGUGCCGGCCUCCCCCUGUUGCGUUGCCCAGCUCAGGGCAUUCAUUGCACCUCUGAAGUUGGUUACAUGACAGUAAUUUCAUUACUGUAAGACAGCUUGGGGUGUUUCAAAACAGCCCUUAGGGCUUUGCUCUGAACUUUGUUGUCUGCAUCAGAAGUGUUUGAGAAAGCCACUGAAAUCGCAGAGAGAAAAUGCAUCUAUUGGUUUUCUACAGAGAUGGUAACGUGUUGGCAGAAGGUGGUGCUGUUACCUGAUGUUGCCGCAGAUAACUGCCAUGUCAUGGAACAAAACCCAUGACUUGAAAAAAGGUAUUUUCUUCCCACAGCCAUAGGUGUGCUACAUAAAUAGAUACAGAUGAGGUUUCCCAGUCCCUGAGAUAUAAUGAAGUGUUCUUCGUUAGAAGUCAGGCACCCGGGCCAACAUUUCUUCCAACAGAAAGCAGGAUAUUGGGUGAAUAGUGCUCACAGAGAAAUAAUUGCCACUGCAUGAUGGCUUUCCAAUGGGGUGGCCGAUUUCACCCAGAAGCACAGGGUCCCAUGGGCUGGGUGUCAUAACAGCAGAAAGCAAAAGAUGUGUGAUAUAAGGGAUGGCUGGAAGUUCCAGAAUGCCUUUUGAGAGCCGUAUGCCUUCACACCCAGAGGUCAGGAGAGAGAACCCAGAGGGAGGUUUGGUUUGGAAAAAGCUCUUCUGAUUUCUAUCUUCUGCGAGCUUAACGCGGUCAGGUGGCACGUUGUGCUGGGUUGGGUGUAUGGAGCAAUUCACAUGUGUGGCACACAUCACUUCGGGGCUCUUCAGAAACAUCUCACAUCCUAUUGACAAGGGGACUAUCUGUAGCUAAUGAUACACUGAUAACGAGGCUCAUUCUGAGCCUGUAGAAUACAUACAGAUUGUAUUUGCAGGCUUUGUGUUAUCAUCAUAAAAGCCAGAAACUUCUCUUGUGUUUAAUGAAAGAUGAAUGAUUUUUGCCUAUUUCUGUGCCUGUAGAAAGCCCAGUGGAGGUUGUGGUUAUGAUUUAUGGCAUUGGAGCAGAACGUGUGUGCAAAUAGAAAUCAUUGUGUUGUUUCCUAUAAUUCAGUGUUGAUUCCUAUAACUCAUGUUAACUAAGGGAUUAGAAGUUGUGUCAAUUCAAAGCUUUAUCUAUUUCUGGGUUAGAACUUGGGCUGCUGGCAACCCUGUGCUGUUACCAUACUUGGACCCCACUGAAAGUUCCUGAUUCAGAAAAUGUUUGAACUGGUGAAAGCUCCUGAAUUGUCUGACUGGUGUGUAUCAGCUGAGGUAUCAACCUGUGUUCCAGAGUGCUGUGAUGAGUUUUUAUAUUCAAGAGGUCUGGAGUAUCCAGAUAUACAUCAGUGAGGGGGGGGGGGGGGAAAUAGUCCAGGGCAUGCAAUAGAUGCAUCAGGAUUUGUGCUCUCUGCUGAAUUGCCUCAGCAUGGAGAGCAGCAGUGCAUCUGGAAGGGCUGGAAAUAUGUGUGUGUAUGGUACAGAGGGGGCUGUGAUACUGCGGCGUUCAGAGCUGGGCAGCAUGGGCUCUGAAUUUCAGAGAUUAAUUUGCACAGUUGCAUUUUGGGCCAUAUUUUCAAACUUGAGAAAGCUCAGCUUGGAUUCUGUUGUUACAACAGCUUUGUGGAGGGAUACAUAGCCCACGAGUACCUGAAUUUAGGUCUGGGGGGUGCCCAGCUCUCAGGAUCAGGCUUUUAGAGACCAGGCACCACGCCAUCCCAUCAGAGGAAAGAGACAGAACUGGUCAGAUGGCGUUUAAGAUACAAUUCAGUCUGAGAGCUAAAGGCUCUUGCAGGAUUUUCAGACCUUGAACAUAAGGCUUCUUUUUUUUUUCCAAUUGGAUUUCACGGUUGAAACGUGGUGUAAGAAUUGCGAGGCUAGGGAGCAAAUAGCUUUUUAUGGAGAUUUGAAUUACAUUUUACACUUGACAAAUCAGUCUAAGCAGUGAGUGGAAGGGCCUGGCGCCCUGUCUGCGCCCCAGUCCUGCUGCUGGCAGCCUGCACAUGGAGCGCUGGGUAGGGAAGGGAAAGGGAGCGCCGUGGGGGGAUGGCUGCUUCAGCAUCUGAAGCCCUCCAUAGCAGCCACUGGCAGUUUGAGGGGACUGAGUGAUGGAUGGAGUGGUUGGCAGGCCGUGCCCAUGGCAGGGUUUAGAACUGGGUGCUCUUCGAGGUGCCCUCCACCAACCCAGGCUGUUCUGUGAGGUUAGCUUUCAUUUGCCCUCCAACAAGUGAUAGAGGGAGGAGGGGUGGUUGUUGCUUUCUGGAUGGCUGCCAUCAAUGCGGUAAGGUGUCAUUUGCUUGAGCUGAAGUCUCCUCUGCUGACAAAUACCACUGCCACUCCAGUAGAAUAUUUAAGGCCAUUGAUCCUUAGUAUUCAUCUGAUCAUGGUGACAUGGACCGUGUCCUCCUGUCUGUGAAAAUCCAGCAAUUCUCUGCAGGACUGCAGGUAGUCCUCAAAGCAUCUGCAGAGCUUCCCAUGGCGUGUGCUGAGAGGUGUAUCUUUGUUUGAUUCUGUGAUUAACAUCGACUGCACAGGUGAGCAAAAUCAGCUGCCAGACAGUUUGUGAAGAGUUCACAAGGUGAACUUCUGGUUAUCCUGCGAGUGUUGGUGGGGAACAGAAAGUGAGUCCGGUGGUGGUGUGAUCUGAGCCUGUAACCGCUGCUACUCGGGUGGGUUCAGCUGGUGCCAUGGGAAGCGGUUAUUUGUCAGCCACAGUCAUCUUUUGUUCACCUUUUUUUUUUUUUUUUUUGGUGUGAAUUACUGAAAAGCAAACUUUUCCCACCACUAAUUGUAUUUGCUAAUUACCUGUGAAAAAGCAAUUAUCUCCCGGUGAUGCAAUUCUUUGGGAAGGCUUUUUUUUUUUAAUUGGUAAAGAGGAGUCCCUUCUAUACAGGUUGUUUUCAGAAAAAAAGCUUUUAAGAUAUUGUAGCUGAUGUAUCACGUUGGACACAUCGGAUUGGGUCGCAUCAGCAGUGUUGCGUUACGUUACAUCACCGAGGUAAUGUGCUGUGACAGAUCUGCAAUGCAAUGUGUCAGCUGCAAAAUAGGGAAAGAUGUGAUUUCCCGAACAAAAUGCUCCUUAAGCUUUAUGGCAUUUUCCCCUCCUCCAAGUAAAGAAAUGGCUGUUUAGGUGUUGGGGUAUUUCUUAAAAGACUCAAUUAUGUUCAGAAGAAUUUGAAGCCGUUUUGUUGUUGCUAUUUCCUCUCUCAGUGGAUAAUUAUCUAAUCUGGAAAGAAAGAUAUCUUUGCUUCUUAUAUUUCCAUGACCACUUUACAAUUUAUCUGUGUCCCCGAACAUUCAGCAAACUGGAAGGCAGUUUCUAGGGGGAGGAAUUGAGCUGACACGGUGAGGCAUACAGGCAGGAGACCUGGCUGCCGUCCUGCUGGGAUGCCAGAGCAGGGGAGGGGGAAUGGAUGCACUUCAGCUGUAGCUUUGGAACUAGAGAGGACAGAGCAGCAGAAACAAAGGAGGUACACUUAAAACUGUUAGGCUCUUUAGGAAGGUGGGAGCAAUGGAAUCCAUGUGAAAACAAAAAUCCAAAUAUUUUGGGCACGACUUCGCCCUCUACAUUGUCAGAUACAAAGGGUAGUGUUGCUUCCUUUACUUUCUGUUUUAUUUAAAUCAUCCUUGGUGCUGAGCUACUCAGAGUUGUUCGAUAUUAACGUCCCCUCAGUCAUGCAUUGCGCUGCAGUCAAACCGAACCAUUAUACAGACAGUUUGUGAACAGGGAAGUGCUGUGCGCUGAUGGUGAAGAUACCGUCACCGAGCUGAGGAGGUUAACAGCCCCAAAUCGCUUUGAUAUUUGUACAUACUCAGAAGGGAUUGAGAUGUUUGCUCUCAUUUUAGUGAGCUCUUGUGAUUCAGUACAUUUGGCACUUCAGGGUUCAGAAUAGCCACUUUUUUCCUACAAAGCAAUGCCCUCAACUGCGUUACUAUUUGGUUGCUCGUUAUGGUCCCAUUUAGAUCUUUCUAUUGCUGUGCAAAUAUGCCUUCGUUUCACAGUAACUUGCCUAAUGCUGCUUUGUUUGGCAUUCUUUGUUGCAAGGAUCAGGGUUCUGGUGCACUCAGAAAGAAACCAGCUAAGUAAAUCUGUAAUAGCAUCGCUGUUUAAACAGCGCCUUGGAUCACUGCAAGUAAAAUUAGAAACGUUGGUUAUGUACCUAUGGAUGCCUUUCAUUUUCAGUUCAAUAGUUUUCUUACAAAGGGCAGCAGUUGCGUGGGAAACAUUUACUUACCGUUUUUUGCUUGCUUUGAUUUAGCACUUAAGGACAAUACCGAGAUUUUACAGCCUGUCCUGAGUGAGGUGAAGUGCAUAAUUGCUGUGCCCUGGGAACAGCCUGGGAAAUGAAUGAUGGGUGGGCAAUUGCUAAUUUUUCCCUGCCAACCUCCACUUCUGCUCGCUCUAAGCAGGUGUUAAGAACGCUAAGAACAAAGGUAUUAAAAAGGUAUUGAGGCGCCUCAAAUUCAAACAUUCUUACAUUUCUUUCAGCAAUAAGCAAAAUAGGCCUCCCAUGUUCCUUGAAAAUGAGAGCUGUAUGUCAGUUCACCUUCAGACCUCUGCAAAAAGCGUUAUGUGCCCUGUUGUACCCACCAGUUACUCCAGCCAUGCUGUUAACCCAGACCCCAUUUCUUCAGUCCACCCCAGGCUCCAGACCUUCCGUGUCUUGGCAGUACGGGGCCAUUCCCACCCCGCACUGAUGUCUGGUUGGAGGAUACCUUGUCAGAGCCAGGCUCCACAGAUGCCUUUGUAGUCUGAUGUGAAAUGCAUCCCAUGCUCUCUACCAGCUGCAUGGGAAGCCCCCCGAGACGAGGCCAGAAGUGGAUGUUUCCAGUCUGGCAGCCAGCAUGCUCAUGUAAACCAUGCUUUAAAUGAAGGGGCAGUCUUGGUGCUUCUGCCACUUGUUUCCAUCAAAACACUGAUGGAAACAAAUAUUAUUAUGUACAUUGUGCUGUUCUUUUAUUGAUCUGAGCAAUCUUUAAGCCAACUAUUAACCUUGCUCUCUAUAUACAGGCUGGUAUUAGCUGUCACUAACCCUUAUUCUGCAUUCUGAACCCCUACUCUAAGCCUUUUCUUUAAACCUGUUAUUAAGUCUGCCUUUCAUGUCUAAACCUGGUGCAGUAGUGCAAUUAAUUGCUUUACUUAACAUGCAAGGUUAUAAGUGAUCUCUGUGAUUCCACUGACGUUAAAGAAAUAAAUGGAGCUAAACUGAUUCUCAUUGCAAGGUGAUCUUUACGCAGUCUUUGGUUGGUGGAACCAGCAGUAGAUGUGUAUUGCAGAAUUAAUGUUAAGAGUUGCAACUCCCAUUGCUACACAACGGCAGGAUACAGAAGGAUCUGCACAAGUCUUGUGCUUCGUUUUAUACUUUGAAAGAACUCCCUCAGUCCCACAGCCAGCAGCUCCUUUUGCGCUCUUCUUUUCCUUCUGGUUAUAAACACAGUGUCUGCUUUUCCUGUUGUGUACUGGAACGUAGAAAAGUUUCCAGCGACUGCUCACAAUGAGCAAGAGGUACUUUUCCUACUGCAGUGGGAAGAGUACCACAGUUGUUUAGUUCUUGGGUCUCAGCCUUUUUUGCUGCUGAAUUCAUAGAGGAACAUGUGUUUGGAUGCUUUGUCAGAUCAAACCAGGCCUGUCUCACGCUGAGACUGAGAGAAGUCAUGUGAUGGCUUGGGAGUAGAAGUAGGGAACGUGGUGAUACUUGUUGGUAAGUGCCUGAUGCAGUAGCAUCCCUGCCCGGAAAGGCAUUGCUCUGUGAAAGCAAAGCAGGUAAAGAAGGAAGGCAGGUAGUUCUGUGGAAGGCAGGUAGUUCUGUUCUUCGCUCAGCGAGCGGUAAAAUUGCACACGAUUUUUAGAAAAGACCUGCAGUGACCCAGGAAAGCAGCUGACUAACAAACAAGUGAGGUUUCUGCAGGAGCUUUAGGGGUGAAGGUAAGGUUCGCUUCUGGCUAGAUAUAUAGAUGUGAUCAAUAGGUAUGCCAGAACAGAGCAGAGAGGUUCAAAAAGCUUGGGGAUGAGGCUGAAUUCCAGGGUUUGGGGGCACAUGCCACAUCCAAGUGAAGCUUGUAAUAGCAAUGCCAAGAGCAGGAUGGAAAUGCACUCCAUCUACUACUUCAGGAAGAUGGUGUUCUUUUGCAGUUCUGCAAUAGGCACACAGGAAAGCAGCAGAAGACUCCAGCAGACAGAAUAGCUGCUGAUGAAGCUGCAAGAAACCACCUUUAGAGAAGCGAGACUGAGAUGAGCAAAGAAACGUCCCUAGGUGGGGAAAAGAGGAUGAAGAGAUUAGAGAAAAUGGAAAGUGUCCACCAGGGUUGGAAAUACUAACGUGAAGAACAGAGCACAGCAGUGCUCUCUCCUCGGAGAGGUCGCUGUAGAUUUGCAUUGCUAAUUUGCUUGCUUGAAAGUUCUCCCUGGCGUCUAGGGAGGAGAGGCAGAUGUAUUCUCGCAGGGCAAGGCAAUAAGCGUUUGUGUAAUUCUACCUCUGCGUCCUGAGCUGUGGAGGUACUGGGGGUGAAGCCGUAGGGCUCCUAAACAGAAAACACCCAACUUAACUGCAAAGAGAGCUCGUUUCCAACCAUUGUAGCUUCGUUAAGUGGCACAUCAGUAGGAGGGCAAAAUAACAGUUGCUUUAGGCCCAGAGAAGCUUUUGCGUUGCUGCUACCCCAAUUAUUUCCUUUUUUACACGUGCUCAGCAAUCUCUUGCUACUGUAAUUACAGCGCCGAACACUGCAGCUAUUAGAUACAGUCACUAGACUUUUAACAAGCCAUCAUUACUUGCACUCAGAAUCUUACAAUUUAAAAACAAUGUCUUUGAGAACGCUGUAACCUAUUUCUCCUUUACAAUAACUGCACAGACUUGUGCAUGGACGUGCUGGUUGCAGCCAUGAGCUUUGCUAAGGAGCAGCAAAGAAGCCAGGCAUAGAGCUGUAGAAUUAUGAUCCUGACUCAUAUAUUCUGGUGAAGUUGUUAAUAACAUCUCAACAUUGAGAAGAUAAUUGCCAAAGAAGAGAGCAGUCAAUAUCUGCAGCCCUUGCGGUCUUAUGUUGAUGUCAGAACAGUGAUGUAUCGUCUGUUUGGAAACCCAGAGAAGUGAGGGAGGCAGGUGGACAGGAUCUGACUUUUCCCAGCCCCCCUCUGGCUAUUUCUUUCCUGUGCUCUUUGCUCUCGAAGUACCGCUGAAUACUAAAAAGAGGCGGUGUUGUGCACAGCCGGGAGAGGAGUGCGGAGGGCAGGGUGACCUGCUGAGCCCAUGGCUUUCUGUGCUAACCACAGGUGGUCAGGCAGAGCAGGCAUUUAAAAACUCAUCCAUCUCUUGUCUUACUGUCUUGGAAUUUACAUAAUUAAAAGUGAAUUGCUUGCUGUAUUUUAAUAUAUGCAGUGAAAAUGCAUGAAAAGCUGAAGAAUUACAGCAAUCCAGUAAUUCAUGUCAUGUUCCAUUCAGAAUUACAGCUUUCCAGCGCCAGCUCAAACACCGAGGAAUCCCUGCCACCAUAAAGCUAUAAUUGCUGAAUUAAUAACAGCGGGUUCUGGAGAGUGACUGCACAGACUCUCUGACCCAGGUAAUAGAAACACUCAUGUUAAAGUGAAGUUGAUACAUUUGACUUAAUCUAUGUAAUAUCAGUCUCUAGUAGUAAAGAUCACUGCUUUUCCAUCCCGUAAGAAAGCUGUGGUGAGGUGGUACCCUUCUGCUUUAGCUUGAGCUACCUGCAUCUGUUAGCCCCUGUGAACUAGAAAUUACAUUUUCAGGGAUCAGUCAGAUUGCAUUUCUUUCUACCAGGGGAUUUGUUACCCCAGUCUGUCUGCCUAGAACUGCUGGGAGGUGAGUUCCCAUCCAGCUGCAGAGGGGUGGGGAACAGGAUGUCGAGGGAGAUGGUGAAAGGCUUCUGCUAACACCUCAUUGCUCCAGAAUGUAUUAACAACUAAAAAAAACAAUCCCUCCCCCUCUCUUCUAACUCAGGAAGAAAUUCUGCAGUUGCUGCUUUGCCAAAUUCUGUGCCUUGUGGCCCCCACAGAUAUGAUGCUCCUCAAAACUGGGAUAAAAGGAUGCUGUUUAAACAGGAUAAUAGGAAUUUAACCAAAAUGACUUGAUCUGAAUGAGGAAUCAUUUUUCUUUAUUUUUAUAGUUUAUUUUUAAAUAAGAAUGUCCCUAGGUAUUAGAAGGGCCUGGUAAUCCAUUUACCAUGACUUCCUUAGGUUUGGUCCUUGAAUGGGACCUGUGCUACUCUACGUUUAUCUGAGUAGGAUUUGUGAUUCUUGGUAACCUUUGUAGGCUGACUCAAGUCAUUAGGGACAAAUUGCCCAUGUCAACGGAUCUGAUUGUAUCAUGGAAUUGAUGUAGUGCACAGCUACUCAUGUUGCAAAGUGCAGCUGCAGCAAAAGCCAAAGCGUGUGACCACUGAGAUGUUGGACUUCUCUAAGCUCAGGGCAAUGUCCUGUGCUGGGGCUCUUAGCAGCAGCCUCCCCAAGGUUGUGUAUACAUUGUGGAUAAAAAGAAUUGGCAGUUUUUAGGGCUGGCAAUCUGGUUCUUUUUCUAAGAGUUAUCAUCAUUAAUUAAAAUCUCUCUCUUUUUUUUUCAUCUGUCUAAGUAUUUCAGCUCUAAUUCUCUUGCAGGUUCAUAAAUAGUAACAUCCCUUUGUCCUGGGAAAAGUUCUUAUCUUUUGUUUCUCUUUGUCAUUCCCCUCAAUCUCUGUCCUCUUGAGGCUGAAGGUAAGUAAAAUUCCUGCUAUGAUGUUGUGGUUGUGGGCCUGUUCCUUUGUUCCUUCGGUCGCCCCGUCACCCCAUCCCUGCUUUGGUAUCCACAGUCCUACCUGGAACAGCAUAACGAUGACCCACAUGGUUCUGUUUCACUUGGCAUCUGCUCUUCCCCUCUGUGCAUAGUUUCCCUUUGGACUUCCUUAGCAGAUCCUCUGCAGCAAGCAGGUGUUUCUCCACUUUUCCAGUCUGUGAACUUGAAGUUAAAUUCAAAAAUAAUUCAUCAUUUUAUAAAUAAGUUAUAUAAGCUGUCACCACAAAUCUGUCACUGCACAGACAGGUGCCAACAUGCACCGUAUGCAAGACGGUAACAACACCAGGAUUGGAAUAAAGGAUGUCCAAAAGCAAUUACAUUUCCAGAUAUUAGGCAAACACAAUUAUUUAAACUGCUAGUCAAAACCAGUUGAUAAAAUAGAUAAUUAAAAAAGAUUGACCCAAAAGCUGAUGUUAAAUUAUUCUGUAAUGUGCACAUAACUCAAAUAAUUGCUCUCUCAUAACCCAGCCUCUAUUAAAGGGAAAUUUUACCUAGGAAAAAAAUUACAUAUUCAGUACACGGUGAUUAAAAUAAAUAUACAUUCUCUCAAAUGCUGGAGAUGAUGUGAGAAACUGUAUUAAAAAGUGGGAAUGAAUUAGGCCUGCAUUGCAAACAGUAGUGUGGUCUGUCAUUGUAAUAAAUCAUACUCAAUAGGCAUUGAAACAGGAAGUAUGACACUGCAGUAAAUCCAAAUCAGCCUCAGACCACAGUAGUGGUAGGUGACCUGUUGUGUGUGGGUAUAGAACUAAGCGGGACAGGAUGGAGUCCUGAGGAAGGAGCUAUUUUAGUAGUUCAAUUUAGACAUUAAAGUCUUGGGAUAGGACAUCAAAACCCCUAAUCUGGAGUUUGAAUCCAAUAUUUAAUACAGUUUACACCCACUUCAGCUAUGCAUGAGUUUCCACCUAAAACAAUAUCCAAGCUCUUUUUGACACCUAAUGAAGGGACAGAUCGAUUGUUCUUCAGACCUCAUUUUUUGUGCUGCUUACCUGGUGGUGGUGCAGGACUGACUUCAGUACUUGCACUGUCAAAAGCAGGAUCAGCCCGAUGUGCUUUAGCUGGGGGGGACACACAGGGAUGCUCUCCUUAGUGCAUCUGUCUGUAUGAAGCUGUCCUGUGCUCUCAUCUUUGAAACAGCACAGACUUGAGAAACAUGAAAACUUCAUCUAUGAGCGCACAGCAUUACUCCAUAAAUGGUAUGGGAACUGAUUAACCCAUCAAUCUCUAUUAUUCAACUACUGCAAAUGAGACACGUGCUCCCUUGGGGAUUUACCUGGAGUAAAAUCAAAAAGAAAAUGCUUUCUCCCUUCCCAGCUUGAAAGUUCAAAAUUUGUUUGGACCGGUGAUGCUGCAAAUAAAUAAAAGAAAGAAUGACCUGAAUUACUUGAGCAAUCCCCUGGGACUGAGGCAGGAAGCGUUUGAAACAUGAAAAGUUGCACCCGUGUUCAAACAAGAGAGGCCCUAGUUAAUUAUUUACAGCAGCUGAAAGCUCAUCAAAAAUUUAACCAAGAUUUAUUUCUCUGUGACUCUGCAGGCACCACAAUGUGCAGCAGUGGAGGCUUCAGCUGCCUUCAGUGAAGCUCCUGAGUUUUCACCUCCCGGCUUGUCGGUGCUGGCUCAGUGCUUGCAGUGAAUCCUUUCCUCCUAUCUGUCAGCGAUGCACGCUAGUAGGGUGGAUUCCAAUUGCAUGCAAAUAAAUAGCAUGCAGCAUCUGAACUGCUGCUGGGAGGCUCUGUGGUGGCCCUCAACAGCCUUCAGCUGUGGCAAGGCUGUGACCCGUCACUGUCAGUAGAUGAUAUCAAAUACAAACCUACCUGCGGCUUAGCUCUGCUCCUCUCCCAUCUACAGGUAAUGGGCCCUUCCAUUUUGUGCACACUGACUGAGUGAAGGCUGGGCCACUGCCCCUUUGCUUUGAAGUCCACUGCAUUUGUGAUUUUUCUUUGAUCAUCGCUGUGGAAAAGCCUGAAAUGUUUUUCUCAGCAGUUUGUAUGCACACAAGCAUGAGAGCUGAGAACCUCAGUCAAGGUGAAACUUCUGAACUUAUCUCGAUUUUGUUAACAUUAAAUUAAUAUUAAGUAGGACCAAGUUAUGUUUUGCCUUGAGACUGAGGAGGGAACAAUACUGUUCUACUACUAUCCAUGUAUCAAAUGAUAGCAAAAGGGAUUCACCAGCGAGAGGAACAGGACCUAUAAAUGACAGUGAGUACCUUAGAAUUCCUGAAGCUUGAGCUUCUUCCAUGAUGGCACUUCAUGACCAAUAUCUCAUAAGGUCCCUGAAAAAGAAAAGAAAAAAAAAAAAAAUCAGGUAUUUUCUCACCAUCUCGCUAGAGGUAUCUAGAGAAAGGAACUGUACAAGGCUUUCAUUAGCAGCUGAAGUAUUACUGUAUAUUUGGAUCCAUUUGCUCAGUUCGUGAUAUAAUGGAGCACAACUGAUGUAAGUUGGCUCGAUGCGACCCCUUGUUACACAUACUGGAACAGUAUCUGCAGAAGUAUUUGAAAUUACACAUUUUUUCAGACAUCUAUUUUAAGGAUCAGUGACUUCAAACAAGCAGUGCAUUUGGGCAUAUUUUAAAGGCUUAUUUCCUGCAAUCAUGUGCAGGUCAUGGCUUAAUCCUCAUCAGAAAGAAGGCAUUUGGGAUUCUGAUUACUGCAGGGAGCAGUGAAAGAAGGAUACGCAUAGAAAGAACAGCAGCAGAGUUUUGAGACAGAGCCUGGGCUCUGACCAGUAAACCUUUGAUGAGAACUUCUGAGGGAGGUGUUUUUUUUCCUUUAUAUUUUCUUUAACAUUUGAACGCAGCAACAGAAGAGGUGGGACAAAACGGAGUCUGAAGUGUUGGUUAGGUGAUGUUCUGGCACUGCAGUGAUGUGGGCACAGACCUGGAAAGAGCCAGCUGUCCUGGCAGGGAGCAGGCAGCCAACGGGAGGAGCAGCUGAAUCUAUUUCUUACUGUCACAGUACUUUGAAAAGUACUUUUCACACUGCUUUUAGAAACUAAAGUUUGUAAUGGCCAGGCAAGACUCUGAGUUAUUAGAAGAGAGAAGGAGCAGGGCAGCUUUGCUUGGCCAGACGCAUAGCUGCUCUCAAGUGAGGGCUGGAGAAAGGCAGAGGGAAGUGUGACAGCUUUCCACAACAGAUAAGAGCUGGAUUCCAGCCCACUUCAAGCUAGGUAAGCAAAUAAUUACUUGUGAAUAAAUUAGGAAGAAAAAUGCUAAAUAUCCUUAUUAAUAGAGACCAUAUGCUUUUGGCAACUUCUUACCAGAAGGCUCUUAAAAGUAUGCAGUGACAUCCUAGAGUUCCCAGUCACGUUUCCUACACGCUGCUGACACACUCGCCUCAGAGAGGACAGAAUACUGAUUUUGUGUGUAUUUUAAAACCCUACAGCCUUACCAUCUGUGACUGCAUGGGCAGAGCCUGUUUCUUCACCUCAAGCAUCCAAAAAAUCAAACUGUAACUGUCUUCCCCUCCCACAGGUUUGUCUGAUGUCCCGAGCACUGCCCUGGUGUUCCAGCGGCACCAACAGAGGCUGACUGAUGGGCUCCAGUUCAGACAUACGAAGGGUGGCAAGCAGAGGCAGCGUUCUGAGACCGCAAGUCCCUCAGAACUGGAUGUCCUCAUCCCCAGGGCUGUCAGCCACACCGUGUCCUGUCCCUGCUGGCUGCACAGCAACGGUGGUGACACAGCUGCAUGGCUGCGGAGAUGGAAGCCCAACGUGUGUCAUCUCUGAGGCUGCUCGAGUUCCUCUUCAGCGCUUUGCGGGGGAAGACCAGAGAAAUAAUAAGGCUUUGUAUGAGUGAUAAGACUGUAUCAUGAUGGCUGUUCGCUUCCUAACGGAUGGGACAGAGAUGCAGGUAGGGUGGAGGGGCCACAAAGGCAACCGAUGGAGAAGUUUCUUUGGAGUCUGCUGUUCUUUUUUGCUUCAUUUAUAUUUCAUUAGGCAUGAAAUUAUGUUUAUAAUUGUAUUAGACAACUGUGUGAGAUAUUAGAUCAUAAGCCUAGACUGAAUUAAAGCCAUUUUUAAUUAGUUAUUGAUUUAUUCUGUUUUGUCAUUUUUAAUGAAAUGAUGCCCCUGAAUUCAAAGCGCUGGUGCAGGUGUGUUAUCUUAAUUCAUAGAACUAGCACUCUGCUUACCUCCCAACCAACCAAGAGAAUGGAAGUUGCUGUUCUUCAACACGGUUGUUGUAUCAGCCACUGAUGUGCGUCUGCACAAGGGGGGUGAAGGAGAGAGACACCGCGCUCCAGAACAGACAAGAGGAGGGAGCCCUGGGCUGCAGACACACUGCUGGGAGGAAACAGGGCUGAGCAAAACCCAGGGUAAGCUUUCAAAAAGAAAAAAAAAAGAAAAAGAACAAGAAAGGGAAAGCAGGGGACAACAUGCAGCUGUGGGAGCUGCGAGACGCAGCGCUGCUGCUGGGACCGAGCAGAAGUCCAUUGCCCCGGGGAUGCUGCGCUGCAGCACCAAAAGCAGCGGCCACCGCACACUGCUGGGAUGCGGCUCAGCCCCAACAGCUGCAAGGACAGGGAGCAGCACUGCAGCUCAGCGAAGCUGUGCUUUGUCUAUGCAUAGAAAUCAGAGCUAAGAGGUUUGGGGUUCUUUGUGGCUUUUUUCUGUUGUUGUUACCUGAAAUCCAUCAGGACCUCAGCUCCCUGUUAUACUUUUCUGCUCCAUCCUGUGAUGUUAAUACAUACACAGGGAUUCACUUGCACUUCAAAAGGACAUCUUCCCAUGGUGUAAGAGCCGCAGGAUGUUUCUCGAGAUGUUGCAGACCUCGAUGGCUUUCACUUAGGAAAAAAAAAUAGAGGCUGUAUUCUGUAAGGCACUGCUGAGGCACGUGAGCACUUCCUCAGCUCACCUUCAAAAUACUUGCUUUUUUUUAAUCACUUUCUGGCUCUCACACUCACUCUGCUAACAACUACAGAUCUCCAGCACUUUGAAACAAAGCUUUUCACCUUUCGGUACCUUCUCAGUCUGUGUGCUAACAUGCUCCUUGCUGGCAUUCAGCUCAGUCUCCCACCCCAACAAAGAAAUAUUUGGAAACACGUUCCUUUUCACAUCCGAGCUCCCCAAAUGCCCAACAACUGACUCUUAUCCUUUCUCUUUUUUUUUGGCUUCUCCUUUCCUACUUCCUUUCCCCCCCAUAUGCAGCCGCCCACAUGGUUUCACUCACUGAAACAGCCCAUGGUGAAAUCAGACAAACACUUUGACUUUGCCCCCGGCCCCACUGGUAGCCGUACCUCUGAAGCUGCCAUUCACCUCUAAUUACACGUCUGCUGAAAUCGUGCAGAGAAGGAACAGUGUAAGUCAUUAGUCCUCCUAAAUGAAUGUGCAGCUGAGUAGCUAACAAAGGGAUUAACACUUGACAGCAGAAGCGUUGCAAGCUGAAGGGGAGGGUCAUCGGGUGACUGCUUAUUACACAGAAAUAAUUGCCAUCCAAUGCUGAGAGAAACCAAUGGCUGCAGGCUGUGUUUACUGCAAAGAAGUGCAUUUUUUCCCCUGUCUUUUCUUAUCCCUUCUGCUUAAUCUUCCUUUGCACAAAGCAGGGAGGAGACCCAUUGCUGGGCAGUGCAGGGCUGGAUUCCAUCCCACGCAGGAUGCCCAGGUGGGCAAGGUUUGGGUCUGGCUUUUUUUUUUUUUUUUUUCUUCCUUCCUUCAAAGGACACAAGGUGGAAAAAAAAAAAACCUUUUUAGUAUUUUUAGGAAAGAAAGCUGCAAUUUCAGAGCAAGUUGGCUCAACUGUAAAACUUACCUGGGCUACAUAUAGAUGUACUUAGACACUCCCAGCCCAAUUGAAAGGCAGUGCAUUUUAGUACAAGCGUUUUACGCUACCAAAUGAUAGCUGAGAUGUAAAUGCCACAGAGAUGCAUGAAAAGCACAGCAGCACUGGGGUGGUAUGGUACAAUGUGAAAAGGAUGUUUACAUCCAAACAUGACACGCACAGUUGAGCAUGAAUUCACAUUAGCUCAGCUUGCGCUUCAAACAUCUAUUUAUUAACACUGGGUGGAAACAACUAUUUUUCAGUAGCAGAGUUCAAGUAUCACAAAGGGUUUUUAAUGACUUCUAUAAAGCUUAGCACAGCUAUUAUUCCAAAGGCUUACCAUCUGAGCAGAGGUGAUGCUUAGGCUUUUCUAUGAUUUACCUCUUCUCUGGCAUUCUUUCUUUCUGGGUCUUCAGUGACAUGUCAGUUUUCC
ensembl:lncRNA